AAGAGCGUCCUCAAUGGUAUCGUAAUACUAGAAGAAGAGUAAGAAGUUUAGAAAGCUAUCCAUAAAAAGGCAUACAAAUAUUCUUAAGAAUAACUGCUUUAGAAACUUACCAACAUAUUUUCUCUUCCUUUAUAUCUUGCAGGAUUACUGUAGAAGUGUUCAGCAAAACCUGGCUUUACAUGUGCUCCUUUGUACUGAAACAGGCAAAAUAGUUCAUGAUAAUGAGGAAUAGCAUUUUCACUUACCACAAAAUUGGAUCAUUAGCCAGCUCACUGAAGCGUUUACACACACAAGCUGCUCUGCAGAGAUCCUGCUCCAGCAGGUAGGAGAAGAUCUUUAGAACCACUUCAUCUGGCAACUUUUCCUGAAGAUACUGUUCUGCAGGUGCUGCUAUUAAACAGUAAUCUAUGUGAGACUGACAUAUUUAACCAGCCCAAAUUCUAAUCAAAAUAAAUCACCAGCUUGCCAUUUGCAACAUUCCCAAUGAGAAUUCCAAAGUCUCAGAUUUUAAAUACCCCUCAUCUAAAUCCAAGGACAGAAAGAGGUAAACGGUUGACACUGGAGUCAGGCAGAAGUUACAGACUGACAAAAACCAGCUACUAACCAUGUUUCACGAACCAAGAGCCACUGUAUCUAUUAUUACUAUUGCCACACAUGACAGUUUAUACAGAAAAGCCCACCUAUACAGUUUGCGUUCUCAUGAGGACCUUCUGUGGCAGGUAUCCUUACUACAGGGAUGUUCUAUUUGCAAAGGUUGCUUAUUUGGUUGUUGUCUUUAGUAUCUUUUCUCAGGCAAAGCCAUACAGAACAGCUUCCAAAUUUUAGAUUUCUAUGUGUGGCAUUAAAAGCUCCUGCUACAUUCAUAAUGCAAUUAUAUCCAUGUAAUGCUCCUUGCAUUAUUAAUUUUUUUCCUAGAACAUCUGAACCAAGGGAGCAAUACAACGGUUUUGAGUAUUACAGGAAGACGAGUAGCAGGCCUUCUGUCUCAUGGUCACUUCAACUUUUGAGUGAGAUUCUGGAAAAUGGUUUCCAAAAAUAUUUAUCUACCUACCCCACCCCAAACAAAACAAGACACCACACAAGGUAAGCCUCAAGCCUUCCACGGGCAAAGCAGCAUGAACAGCUCAGUUAUUUCCAGCUAGAAGGGAGAGAAUACAUGAACUGUAAGGGCCAGGACUGUGGCUUCAGCAGAGAUGUUAAGCUGUGGUUUACAGACCACAUUACCAGAAGCUAUGGACUAUCAGAGAACUGAUUAAAGCUGCAGCACACUUGUGUGUUUUUGUUGUGUGUCUGUCCCCGUUCCCUCCUGGGUGUUAUACUCACAUCUGUGGUCAGACCAUUUAGUAGAAAUGAUGAAAUAUUACUGACUCUCCUGUGACUUCCCCUAAACUUGUUCUUUGGGUAACAUUCAUACAAUGGUGCAGCAAGUGAUUCACAAAUAUUGAUUUCCUCUGAGAUGCUAGGAUAAUUUAUACAGUGUACUGAUUGCUGGUCUUUAUAGGAACAUGACUUACAGUCAUAAGCUCUGAAUAUGCACCCACCACUUUAAUCAAACAAAAAUCCAUGGGAAUAAGGGAAAGUCUCGCUAUUCCCUACGUUCAUAGCUAUUCUCUUCCAAAACAUAUUUUUAAGUUUGUAGUAUUGACUGUGGACAGAGGAAAAAAAGUUUUCUUCCUCGUCCUUACCUGCCCUCUUCCAAAUUACUAUUUUUACUGGAUCAGCUCCUUGGUGUAGCUCAUUCACAAGCUAUAGAACCACUAGCAUGGGUACCCCUAGCAUGGAUAUCCAGAAGCUGGACAAGACAGUUCUUGUCACCAGCAGUACUACUAAUGCCAGAUUAAGGCAUUUAUUUUUUGUUAAUAAUAAUAAAGUUUUAUGCACCAGGCUGAAGCCAGUAAACUACCAGAACUAAUAAAGAACAAGCUAGUCUGGAAAUGUCCUUUACGUUCAAGAUGGACUUUGAGAGACCAAGAUCUGCAGACCAUACACCAACCCCUGAGGUGAAUACAGCUAGGAAUCAGCAAAAAAUGUUACCCAUGCAAUCAGUGCUUCUUUUUAAGAAGACAUUUUUCCACUGGACAUAAAGUGUUUUUUUUCUGUAUCAAGCAGGCAGCAGCAACUCAUUCUACAGUCCUAAUUACCCUUGAAAUGCAGCACAGGAUAGCUGGGCUUUGCUUUUGAAUUCAUCUUUUCCUGGUAGCUUUCCAGUUAGAUGUGGAGAUAGCCUUACAAGCUGAAAUGUAAUGUUGUGAACGCAAGGCAGUAAAUCCUCACAGGUCUUCCAUGAGCUGUCUUGGGCUUUUAACACACGCACACAAAUCCCUGAGGCAUACAACAUGAUCUUCUUUCCAAGACAAUCAGUUAUUUGCCUAAUCAGCCUGCAGAAUUUCAUCCUCCACUAAAUUUACCUAUAUUAGGACUUGAUUAACUUUGUAUGGGGGGGGUGGGGGAGGGGUUCAUUAGCGUAGUGCCUCCCAUUGCUCAACAGUUCACACUUCAUUUUCCUCCCUAGGUCACAUCUCAAUAAAAACUGAAAUCCAGGUGCAUUUCCUCACUGGGAGAGAUAGGAGAACUUUGAAGGUGUCAAAAAAAAAAAAAAUUCUUCAGGAAAACCAAAACCAACAAUAUCACACCUUGCAAUUUUUCAGGCUGUAUCUACUUGGAAGCUUAGACACUAUUUACAAAAUGAAGAUGACAAUUUUUUACAGGUGUUUCCCAUCCUCUCCCACCUUUACCCAAAGUCCUUUAGAAGAUCGCAAUGCAUAUUGUCCAUUACCAAGACUAUUUGAAGACACAGUUGCAGAGAAGAAAAAUUUGUCAAUAUUUGAAAUCACCAGAAAAAGUCUGAAAUACUGUCAGGAAGAACACACUAAAAUUUUUAAGUAUCAACUGUUUCAUGGAAACAUUAAGCCUGAAAUCAGUAAUAAAAUACGUAAUAUUAUUGUUUUUCCAACUACUGGCUCUAAUCCAGCUGAAUACAUUGGUUGACUAGCAUUUCUCCUUUCAUCUCCCCCCAAAUUUUCCUCAGCUCAGAGUCCAUACAAGAAGGAACGGUUCUCUGCCCAGACAUCCCUACAUCACUAGUCCCAUACCUUUAUUUUAGAACUUUAGUUGAAAUGAACAGUUAUAUGUUCCAAAUGAUAAUAUACCAUUUCCACUUCUGAUGUUCCAGAAAACUUCAUGCUCACACUCAGUCACAAUAGCUAUUGUUAUCCAUGGUAACAAAGCAAACAAACAAAAAGGCAAGAAAAAUCUUAUGGCAAUCAGUAUUUGCACAAAUUUAGAGGAACAUCUCAAGAAAUGGAAAGGGGAAA